rnacentral:rRNA from 1 species
UACGAAGGGGGCUAGCGUUGCUCGGAAUCACUGGGCGUAAAGGGCGCGUAGGCGGCCAUUCAAGUCAGAGGUGAAAGCCCAGGGCUUAACCCUGGAAUUGCCUUUGAUACUGUUUGGCUUGAGACCGGAAGAGGUUAGUGGAACUGCGAGUGUAGAGGUGAAAUUCGUAGAUAUUCGCAAGAACACCAGUGGCGAAGGCGGCUAACUGGUCCGGUUCUGACGCUGAGGCGCGAAAGCGUGGGGAGCAAACAGG